CCCUGGCCAAAAUGGUCUGGACCCUGAGAACUUUCCCCGACCAAAAGACAAGGAAGGCGGUGUUGGAAGCCAGUAUCUGUGGAGAGACGAGUGCACCUCCAGUCAAACUGAUAUUUGAGUAGAAUCUGAAGAUUGACAACCUGGAUCCCACACACAUCCUUCCGGCAUUUAUCUCACUGAGGUCACUCUUUAACCUAGAAUGAAAUACUCUGAUCUUACCUGUAUGCAAAAUACUGCUUUCUCUCUCUCUCUCUCUCUCUCUCUC